UUUCCGUAGGUGAACCUGCGGAAGGAUCAUUAAUGAGUUGUCAUGGGGUUCGAUGCUGGCAGCCAGUUUUUGGAUGCAUGUGCUUGCCCUAACAAUCAUCUUCUUCCAAACACCUGUGCACAUUUUUGAGGGAGUCUUGAGUUGGUUGCCGCUCUUGGGUGAUCUUCUCACAUUCCCUUAAAUCAUAAUACGCUAUUAACAAUGUUGAACGUGCUCUGUGCCGCAAGGCCAUUAAUAUAAUACAACUUUUAACAACGGAUCUCUUGGCUCUC
rnacentral:misc_RNA from 1 species